rnacentral:lncRNA from 1 species
UUUUGUGCAACGAUUGGUGCAACUGGAGCAAGAGUGCUUCCAUCUCACCAAGUCCUUGAAGGUUCAUGAGGAGGCUGCGAAGUCUUUUGUCAUGGAGGGGAGGGACCAUGAAGUGUCGCAAGAGAAGUUGGAGAAUCACUAUAAGUCCUUGAACAAGAAGUAUUAAGGUGAGUACUCUUGAUUUUUGAGUAUUUUUGACUAUAGUCGAGGGUUCUGAUCUGUUCCUUUGUUGCAGAGCUCAAGUGAAAAGAGGCUGUUGCGAGUAGCCAGCUUCUUGACUGGAGGAAUGCUCAUGACCGAGUAGCUGAUGAGGUUGACCGUCUCCGGGCAUCACAAGCUGAAGCUCAGGCUGUAUGUGAGCAUCAGAGGGAUAGAAAAAAAUUAGAAUGGAGUUAUGCU